rnacentral:rRNA from 1 species
AACGAACACUGGCGGCGUGGUUUAGGCAUGCAAGUCGAACGUGAAAGUUUCCUUCGGGAAAUGAGUAAAGUGGCGAACGGGUGAGUAACGCGUGGGAAACCUUCCCUUCGUUGGGGGAUAACAGUUCUAACGAGCUGCUAAUACCGCAUACGACCCUUGGAUCGCAUGGUCCGGGGGUGAAAGGGGGCCUCUCUUUGAAGCUCCCGACGAUGGAUGGUCCCGCGUCCCAUUAGCUAGUUGGCGGGGUAAUGGCCCACCAAGGCGACGAUGGGUAGCCGGCCUGAGAGGGUGUCCGGCCACACUGGGACUGAGAUACGGCCCAGACUCCUACGGGAGGCUG